GUUUGAUCAUGGCUCAGAAUGAACGCUGGCGGCAGGCUAACACAUGCAAGUCGAACGGGUCCUUCGGGACUAGUGGCGGACGGGUGAGUAACGCGUGGGAACAUGCCCUUUGGUACGGAAUAGCCUCGGGAAACUGGGAGUAAUACCGUAUGUGCCCUUCGGGGAAAGAUUUAUCGCCAAAGGAUUGGCCCGCGUUGGAUUAGGUAGUUGGUGGGGUAAUGGCCUACCAAGCCGACGAUCCAUAGCUGGUUUGAGAGGAUGAUCAGCCACACUGGGACUGAGACACGGCCCAGACUCCUACGGGAGGCAGCAGUGGGGAAUCUUAGACAAUGGGGGAAACCUGAUCUAGCCAUGCCGCGUGAUCGAUGAAGGCCUUAGGGUUGUAAAGAUCUUUCAGUGGGGAAGAUAAUGACGGUACCCACAGAAGAAGCCCCGGCUAACUCCGUGCCAGCAGCCGCGUAAUACGGAGGGGGCUAGCGUUAUUCGGAAUUACUGGGCGUAAAGCGCACGUAGGCGGAACGGAAAGUUGGGGGUGAAAGCCCAGGGCUCAACCCUGGAACUGCCUUCAAACUCCCGUUCUUGAGGUCGUGAGAAGGUUGAGUGGAAUUC
rnacentral:rRNA from 1 species